rnacentral:rRNA from 1 species
UACGUAGGGGGCUAGCGUUGUCCGGAAUCAUUGGGCGUAAAGAGCGUGUAGGCGGCCCGAUAAGUCCGCCGUGAAAGCCCAGGGCUCAACCCUGGGAUGCCGGUGGAUACUGUCGGGCUAGAAUCCGGAAGAGGCGAGUGGAAUUCCUGGUGUAGCGGUGAAAUGCGCAGAUAUCAGGAGGAACACCGAUGGCGAAGGCAGCUCGCUGGGACGGUACUGACGCUGAGACGCGAAAGCGUGGGGAGCAAACAGG